rnacentral:rRNA from 1 species
CGUAGGUGGCAAGCGUCGUCCGGAUUUAUUGGGUUUAAAGGGUGCGUAGGCGGUCUAUUAAGUCAGUGCUGAAAUACUCCAGCUUAACUGGAGGGGUGGCAUUGAUACUGAUGGACUUGAGUACAGAUGAGGUAGGCGGAAUUGACGGUGUAGCGGUGAAAUGCAUAGAUAUCGUCAAGAACACCGAUAGCGAAGGCAGCUUACUGGGCUGUAACUGACGCUGAUGCACGAAAGUGUGGGGAUCAAACAGGAUUAGAUACCCUGGUAGUCCACACUGUAAACGUUGAUUACUCGCUGUUUGCGAUACACAGCAAGCGGCUUAGCGAAAGCGAUAAGUAAUCCACCUGGGGAGUACGCCGGCAACGGUG